UUUAUGGAGAGUUUGAUCCUGGCUCAGGACGAACGCUGGCGGCGUGCCUAAUACAUGCAAGUCGAGCGGAUCUCAUUGGGAGCUUGCUCCUGAUGAGGUUAGCGGCGGACGGGUGAGUAACACGUAGGCAACCUGCCUGCAAGACCGGGAUAACAUUCGGAAACGAAUGCUAAGACCGGAUACGCAGUUUGGCGGCAUCGCUGAACUGGGAAACACGG
rnacentral:rRNA from 1 species